GACGAACGCUGGCGGCGUGCCUAAUACAUGCAAGUUGAGCGCUGAAGGUUGGUACUUGUACCAACUGGAUGAGCAGCGAACGGGUGAGUAACGCGUGGGGAAUCUGCCUUUGAGCGGGGGACAACAUUUGGAAACGAAUGCUAAUACCGUAUAAAAACUUUAAACACAAGUUUUAAGUUUGAAAGAUGCAAUUGCAUCACUCAAAGAUGAUCCCGCGUUGUAUUAGCUAGUUGGUGAGGUAAAGGCUCACCAAGGCGAUGAUACAUAGCCGACCUGAGAGGGGGAUCGGCCACAUUGGGAAUGAGACACGGCCCAAACGCCCACGGGGGGCAGCAGUAGGGAAUCUUCGGCAAUUGACGAAAGUCUGACCGAGCAACGCCGCGUGAGGGAAGAAGGGUUUCGGAUCGUAAAACUCUGUUGGUAGAGAAGAACGUUGGUGAGAGUGGAAAGCUCAUCAAGUGACGGUAACUACCCAGAAAGGGACGGCUAACUACGUG
rnacentral:rRNA from 1 species